AGCAGUAGCCGCGGUAAUACGGAGGGGGCUAGCGUUGUUCGGAAUUACUGGGCGUAAAGCGUGCGUAGGCGGUUUGUUAAGUCUGUUGUGAAAUCCCCGGGCUCAACCUGGGGGCUGCGCUUGAUACUUGGUUGCUUGAGUGGGGAAGAGGGUCGUGGAAUUCCCAGUGUAGAGGUGAAAUUCGUAGAUAUUGGGAAGAGCACCGGUGGCGAAGGCGGCGACCUGGUCCUUGACUGACGCUGAGGCGCGAAAGCGUGGGGAGCAAACAGGAUUAGAGACCCGUGUAGUCCCUGUCUCUUAUAA
rnacentral:rRNA from 1 species